CAUAGUAUGUACACCCAUGUCCAGUAAAUACACCCCCCUUUAAUACAUCAUUACCAUGAGCACACGCCCUCUGUUUUACUCCUCCAUAUCAGCAGGUCACUCUACAAGACGACAUUUCUCUGACGACCUGCUCUGUACCCUGCUGCAUUCCAUUUCAUCCGCUGUCAACAAUCCCCCGGCCCCUCCAGAACUCAACUGAGGACACGUAAAAUUUGGAACCACCGCGAAACCAGAGCAGAUAAGUAGCUGCGGCCCAGGAUUAGCAGAAGCGGCCAACAUAGUAAUGGGCAACCGACCUGCCUCCCUUUGAAGCAACACGCAAACCCCACAUACGGCCGACAGCCGCGAUGUGGGCGAAUGGGCGUAACUUAUUUUUGCCGUUCCCCUGAACCGUUUGCACCUCAGGAAGCCUUUGACGAAGCCUCAUGUUCCUCAGUCCUGUAGCCAACCAUGUGGCCAAUCGAAGACUCGAAGAAUCGUAUCCGCCAUCAGAGCCUUUGGUUUCGACGGCAACAAGCUGGAAUUCGCAUUCAACAAGCUGAUCUUCUGUCGGAGAUAGACAUGCGUCCCACCGCUUGACAAUAUUGUGUCUACAAUUGGCCGAUGUCAGUUUCUCCUUGUGAAAAAUAAAUCGAGAAUCUGACCUUUUUGAAUGGAAUUGAACUAUCCCUGGACAGAGGGGCAAGGGAGGGAAGGCCGAUUGAGACUGUAUGGCUGUAUACCCCAUUCCAUCACUAAAUGUUAAACCAGACAUGCGUUACAAUAGAUGGGUCGGCAUUUCAUAAAUUUUUAGGUUAUAUAUUGUCAUCCACGGCGUGGCGUCAUUUAUGCAGGCCUCAAGAAAUCGCCUAGCCAAUCUAGACCGCCCACUCUCAUCAGAGUAACGACACUGAGCCUUCGUUGCUUCGUCCAAUGCUUCAGCCGUGGCAUUCCACAGAUGAGAGCCAUGGCUGGAAACCUCAAUAUCAGAUGAGCCGCCGUCUCCCGUUUCACUCGUGAAGUCUAUGGGUAAACGUUGUUUCAGCAACUCCCUAGACAGAGGAUGGUAUUGUCUCGAUUAAACCUCGUGAAACAAUAACAGCAAUUUAGGAACGUAAAUAGGGGAUAUUCUUCCAUCCUCCUCUUGUAUUCAUAUCAAGAAAGGUUAGAAGACAGACGUGGAAGAAAUUAGCUUUUGGGUGGGGGAUGGGGGAGAAAAGAAAAAAAAGUAAAACCAUCAUCAUACCUAGGAGUGGAAAAAAUAAAAUAAUAAGGAGAGAAACAAUUGCUCGUUCCAGAGCACCAUGCAAUUUCAUUAUAAUUUCAAGCUGA
rnacentral:sRNA from 2 species